AGCUCUGAUUGUGCAAGCGAAGGCCGAGAUCGUGCUGGUUUCUCCUGCAAGAUACGGAAUGAAAUCAGGCCCCAAGGUGAUUAAAAAUAAUAAAAAAAAAACGUACACAAGGCCAAGCAUGUUCUCAGCUCAGUGCAGUUAGGAAGCCAAAAAGUCCUAGCGUUGCCAGUUCCAGCUUCCUGCACAAACUGUACAGGAGGCAGCGCAGGGAGCAAACAUCCUGUUCCCAGCCUAAGGACCUCCAACGACCUGCAAGGAGCUGGGGGUUGUGCAAGUGCCGGGCUUCGCUGCCGAUUCGCAGCCCCUGGUGCUCAAAGGCAAGGGAAGGCAGAGCCCCGGGGGUUCAUCUAUGCACCCUUGCAGAGACUUCAGAAGGAAAUUAAUGGGAAGAGGUACACUGUUCCUGUAGGGGGAUAGACCCUAUUUUCAGGUGAAGAUCAAAGGCCAGGCACACUAUGGAUGGUGGUGCAGAGACACACCCUAGGAUCCUUCAGACUGUGAAGCCAAGCGGACAGGGCGUUCCAUCUUAUCUAAGGGGGAUUUCAGCCAUCCUGAAAGGACUUGAGCUAACGCGCAUCACUCACCUUGGUUCCGGCACCUGCACGUAGAGCGCCUGCCAGGACGAGAGCACGGGGGAGUCUAGAAGCAUGAACAGCGAAUGUCGACCCGGGAGGACUGCGCUCAUUUGCUCAGAUGCGGUAAUUAAACCACUUUAUCUAGACAAAUGCAAAACCCAGCUGGAGGUUGCUUCUCAGUCCAUUAAACCCUCAUGUUCAGCAGUUCAGCUGAGGUCAGUUCCUCCGUGAAUUGCACGGCCCUGUUACAAACCUGGGUAAAUUGUUAGGGCUUGUCUACACUAGAAAUGCUGCAGUAGUGCAGCCGAGGGCUUCUUCCGUCAGCAAUCCAUUUCCUCGAGGGACCUAGCGCUGUCUAAAUGGAAACUUAGCUCUGUUGAACUUUGUUGCCCAGGGCUGUGGAUUUUUCAUGCCCAUGACGAAUGUAGUUGUGUUGACCUAAUUUUCUAGGUAGACUUAAGGGCUGGUCUGCAAUUCAGUCAGGCAUUGACUAUUUAAAUCUGGUUUGUAUGAGUUCAGGGCAAUUCGGGGGAUUGAUUUCAGCUGAACUGCUCUAAGCCAGCUGUAGAUCAAUUUUUAAACACUGAGGGAUGGCUGCACUAUUUAAGUCGAUUUAGAGACCUUCCUUGGUUAUCGGACAUGGUUCUGGCCACAUGGCUCCUCUGCAUACCCUUGGCUCUGAAACGGAUGCGUCUUAACCGUGUCAGCCCACCGAGCCAUUGGCUCGGGAGAACUUGGACUUUAGACAAAUCCAGGCAACUGUGUGGGGAAAGUGCCAGGUGGGGCUGGUCAGGUGCCACCGUAAUGUAAGGUUUAUUGAAGCACCUAAUUAAAAGGUAGGCAGAUGUCAAAAAGGUGCUGAGCUUGCUGCAACUCCAACGAGUGGCAACGAGCAGGCUGCUUUGAGCUAGAGACUUUAAAGCCCCAGGAGGAAGUAGUUUGCUGUAGCCAGCAGAUACGAGAAGUGAAAGCCGUCACUUUGGGGUCGGGAACGGUGCAGAACAGACGGGGGGAAGGCAAAAGGGAUUGAGACCAGUCACUCUGCCUUCCUUUGGAAGCACAUAUGCAGGUAAACUAGGAGGCAGCACCUGGAUAGACUUUCACCCUACAGUGCCCACCCCCAAUUCAGCUGGGGAUUUGGCCCAAGGGGUUUGCAGCUGCUGAUCUCCCAAACAGGGGGAUAAAAAAAGGACCAAACGCCAAUGAAAUCUUAAGACAUGGGAACCAAACACCAUCCACCAGGGUAGGGAGCUGCGUGUGAAGCCCUAUCCCUAGCGAAGUGGGUCCUGGAGCGUUCUUGGACCUCAAGAGCGCAUUUGCUGCAAUAGUCCCUUGCGUGCACUACACCAGCAACAUGCCCAGAGGAACACCCACCAAAUGCUGGGCCCUCAAGCAAUUGAACUGUCUGCUGUAGCUCCAACUCACUGGGGAUAAAAGGGGUCAAGAACUGUCUCCAUUAGCACUGGGCAGUGGUUCCAGGAUACAGAGGCCAGGCCUGAGAGAGCGAAGCACAAAUAGUUGAAGCUUGGGAGGGUCUGCUCUGGAGAAUGACUAUGUAAAAGUGGCAUCUGGUCCAUGUGUAUCCAGCCUGAACUACUGGUUGGCUUUAGAUUACAAUGGCCACUGGGUUUUGCCACUCGUGUCUGCCUUGCAGAACCAACACAGCAAGAACACGAACCGGAUUCCAUGCCUUCUUGAGCAGAAUCCAAAUUAUUGAGUCCAGACUAGACUAUGCCCACACCCCCACCGCAGGCAAUGAGGUGGCACUGAGGACAAAACCUGGCCUGCAAGGGCCUUCGCUGCUGACAGUUCCAGCUUCCCUCAGAUGCACGCAGGACAAUCUCCCAGAAAAGGCCAAGCGCUCCGUAAGGAAAUUGAGCAAAGACUGGCAAACACCUCCCUCUUGCGGCUACCAUACAUCAGUGCAGGAUGACCAAAACGGCCAGCGCCAAGGCGGGAACCAUUAGAUUAAGAGGGAGAUUGUAAUGCAGGAAAAAACCACCCUUCUUACACCAAGCCAGGGAAGGUUUCUGCUCUCCUUGCCAUGAGGAAGUCUUCCUUAGUUGGCAACAGAAGCUAGAGUGGCUGUUGCCACAGGGAAUGUCCCAUGACUGUCCAGUCGGCUUUGGGAAGCUGGCGUGGUACCAAGUAGGGUUCAGGACCACAGCCUCUGACUGCCAAUGGUGGGAGUGAGGCUUGCAAAUGAUUUGGGCCUUAGCGGGUAUUUUAAAGAUUAGCUUUAUUUAUUUGGAGGAAACAAAAAAAAACCAAAAAAAAAAGGGGGGGGGGGAUUU